rnacentral:rRNA from 1 species
AGAGUUUGAUCAUGGCUCAGAUCGAACGCUGGCGGCAUGCCUUACACAUGCAAGUCGAACGGCAGCGNNGGAGCAAUCCUGGCGGCGAGUGGCGAACGGGUGAGUAAUAUAUCGGAACGUGCCCUGUAGCGGGGGGAUAACCUAUCGAAAGAUGGACUAAUACCGCAUACGCUCUACGGAGGAAAGCGGGGGUCGCAAGACCUCGCACUAUAGGAGCGGCCGAUAUCGGAUUAGCUAGUUGGCGGGGUAAAAGCCCACCAAGGCGACGAUCCGUAGCUGGUCUGAGAGGAUGAUCAGCCACACUGGAACUGAGACACGGUCCAGACUCCUACGGGAGGCAGCAGUGGGGAAUUUUGGACAAUGGGCGCAAGCCUGAUCCAGCCAUGCCGCGUGAGUGAAGAAGGCCUUCGGGUUGUAAAGCUCUUUCGGCAGGAACGAAAUGGUUCGUGCUAAUACCACGGACUGAUGACGGUACCUGAAGAAGAAGCACCGGCUAACUACGUGCCAGCAGCCGCGGUAAUACGUAGGGUGCAGGCGUUAAUCGGAAUUACUGGGCGUAAAGCGUGCGCAGGCGGUUUCUUAAGUCAGAUGUGAAAGCCCCGGGCUUAACCUGGGAACUGCGUUUGAAACUGGGAGACUUGAGUGUGGCAGAGGGGGGUGGAAUUCCACGUAGCAGUGAAAUGCGUAGAUAUGUGGAGGAACACCGAUGGCGAAGGCAGCCCCCUGGGUUAACACUGACGCUCAUGCACGAAAGCGUGGGGAGCAAACAGGAUUAGAUACCCUAGUAGUCC